ACAGAGGGGGCAAGCGUUAUUCGGAAUUAUUGGGCGUAAAGGGCGCGUAGGCGGUGUCUUAAGUGAGACGUGUAAUCCCCGAGCUUAACUUGGGAACUGCAUAUCAGACUGGGUAGCUAGAGUAGUGGAGAGGGUGUUAGAAUUCCAGGUGUAGUGGUGAGAUGCGUAGAGAUGUGGAGGAAUACCAGUGGCGAAGGCGGCCAUCUGGACAUUAAGUGACGCUGAGGCGCCAAACUGUGGGGAGCAAACAG
rnacentral:rRNA from 1 species